rnacentral:rRNA from 1 species
UACGGAAGGCAGCAGUGGGGAAUAUUGCACAAUGGGCGAAAGCCUGAUGCAGCUAUGCCGCGUGUAUGAAGAAGGCCUUAGGGUUGUAAAGUACUUUCAUCGGGGAGGAAAAAACAAAACUAAUAAUUUUAUUUCUUGACGUUACCCGAAAAAGAAGCACCGGCUAACUCCGUGCCAGCAGCCGCGGUAAUACGGAGGGUGCUAGCGUUAAUCAGAAUUACUGGGCGUAAAGAGCACGUAGGUGGUUUUUUUAAGUCAGAUGUGAAAUCCCUGGGCUUAACCUGGAACUGCAUUUUGAAACUGAAAUACUAGAGUAUCGUAGAGGGAGGUAGAAUUCUAGGUGUAGCGGUGAAAUGCGUAGAUAUCUGGAGGAAUACCUGUGGCGAAAGCGGCCUCCUAAACGAAUACUGACACUGAGGUGCGGAAAGCGUGGGGAGCAAACAGGGAUUAGGAUACC